GCCAGGGGUUACAUUAGGAUAAACAAAACAUAAUAAUAAUAAUAAUAACAAAAGGUAGAAAUAAAGUUGUGUGUGUGUGUGUGUGUGUGUGCGUGUGUGUGUGUGUUAUCUGCGAUGUUGAUAGUUUUCCUUUAUUUUGUAGUUUGUGCUUGUUCCUCUACUGCCUCUUGUAAAGCUGCGCCAUCUAGUGUUUGAUUGUAGUCUUUCCUAUAUUCCUUAUAUUCGAUUAAGUCAAAAAUAAAGGGAUAGUUAAUAAAUGAAAAUGUUGCCGUAUAUUCACCAUCCUCUUAACAAUAAAAUGUAAGACUAAAAAGGAUAUGAAAAUUAUAUGGACUAUGGAAAAUACAUAUUUUACACACACACACACAUGUCUGGUUUGCUAUCCUUGUGGGGACUCUCCAUAGGCGUAAUGGUUUUUAUACUGUACAAACCGUAUAUUCUAUUGCCCUACACCAACCCUACCCCUAAACCUACCCCUCACAGGAGACUUUCUGCAUUUUUAGAUUUUCAAAAAACUUCAUUCUGUCCUCAAUUUAGGUCCCCACCGUGACACGAGUCCCCAUGAGUCUGUGUGUAGUCAGGUUUAAGUCCCCACCAGGAUAUAUAAACCAGUACACACACACACACACACACACACACACAGGGAGAGAUAGAGAGAGGGAGAAAGACUCUUAAAUGGUUAGUUUACAAUCUUAACCCCUUGUUCACACUUAGAAAUGAAUAUUUACAGCAGACUUGCUGGAUCUUGAUUUGCAUUAUAAUGAAACAGAAACAUUGCAGGUAUCUUGUAAAAUCAUACCAGGAAACAACAUGAAAAUAUAUGCAGUAUGUGCCUUUCAAAAAGGUACAUUCUAUUCUAUUCUAAUUUCGCCUAGGUCACCUUUACUAUAUCAUUCUUGCCCUCUGACACUUUCUGCAGCCUGUUUCUCCUCCCUCUCUUCCUCCUCCUUCCUGCACAGACUGGGAAGUAAUCCUAUAUAUACUGUAUAUAUUAGUUUUUCACCCUGUACUUCUUUAAAGGCUCUUCUCAGCUCACUGACAUUGUGUCACACAAACAAAGAAAAAUGCCAGAAGAAGUUCCUGCUCAGUGCAAGGCUCCCAAAGAUGAGCUGGACAAAUGUGUUCAGGGGAAGGGUGCAGAGGGCUGUAAGGAGCUGCUGGAAGCUUUUGAGGCCUGUGUGAAGGGGACCACGGCAGCCUCGUGAGGGGACAUGGAUUUACAUGUCCUUCCUUUCUGGGUCCCUUGCAUUCCCUCACAUUGCACUGGACUAAACCAUUUUAUGGACCGUGAAAGGGGUGCAAGAGCUGGAAAGCAGUGGAAUAGUUUAUUUUGAUCCUGGGAAGUCGUUGUCCUUGUUGGUGUCCCUCAUGUUUACCGUGUUAUGUGUAACAGUGGAAGAAAGAAAACCCAGUUUUAUUAUUAUUAUUAUUAUUUUCCAGAUUUCACACUGUAAUAAAACAGUGCUUUUCAUUUGAUUUUGAAUAAAUUACUAUCAAUAACCAUGACAAUUAAGAGGCAGCCUACAUAGC
rnacentral:lncRNA from 1 species